rnacentral:rRNA from 1 species
GACGAACGCUGGCGGCGUGCUUAACACAUGCAAGUCGAACGGAAAGGCCCUGCUUUUGUGGGGUGCUCGAGUGGCGAACGGGUGAGUAACACGUGAGUAACCUGCCCUUGACUUUGGGAUAACUUCAGGAAACUGGGGCUAAUACCGGAUAGGAGCUCCUGCUGCAUGGUGGGGGUUGGAAAGUUUCGGCGGUUGGGGAUGGACUCGCGGCUUAUCAGCUUGUUGGUGGGGUAGUGGCUUACCAAGGCUUUGACGGGUAGCCGGCCUGAGAGGGUGACCGGCCACAUUGGGACUGAGAUACGGACCAGAAUCCUACGGGAGGCAGCAGGGGGGAAUAUGGCACAAUGGGCGGAAGCCUGAUGCAGAAACGCCGCGUGCGGGAUGACGGCCUUCGGGUUGUAAACCGCUUUCGCAUGUGACGAAGCGCGAGUGACGGUAAUGGGUAAAGAAGCACCGGCUAACUACGUG